GGACUACCAGGGUAUCUAAUCCUGUUUGCUCCCCACGCUUUCGUGCAUGAGCGUCAGUUUUGACCCAGGGGGCUGCCUUCGCCAUCGGUGUUCCUCCACAUCUCUACGCAUUUCACUGCUACACGUGGAAUUCUACCCCCCUCUGCCAAACUCUAGCCUCGCAGUCUCCAUCGCCAUUCCCAGGUUAAGCCCGGGGAUUUCACGACAGACUUACGAAACCGCCUGCGCACGCUUUACGCCCAGUAAUUCCGAUUAACGCUUGCACCCUACGUAUUACCGCGGCUGCUGGCAC
rnacentral:rRNA from 2 species